ensembl:lncRNA
UUUUUUUUUUGUCCCGUUCGUUGCCUCUGAUCUGCUUCAAGUAUUCAAGACUCCGGCUUUUCUGUUGAGUCCUCAAAGUGCGACACACACACACACACACACACACAGAGAGCUGGAGGGGAGUAAUGUGACUCCCACAUAGUCCGCCACCUCUACUGUUUCCACCCUCCACGCCCAUGUCGCCCCACUUGCCUCCUGCACACAGGCGUAGUCACAGUGUUGAUGUCACUCUGCUGAGACCCCCCCCCCCCCUUUUUUUUAUUUUUUUGAGUAACAGCCUAAAGAUGCGGCAUGGCUUACGGGGUAGACGCACAUUCACCGCCUCAAUAACCCCAGGGAGCGCAGCAGGGUGAGGCAAUGGAUGGCAUGUUAACCCCCCCCCCCCCCCCCCCCCUCCUACCCCCACCUCCCUCCCAGCAACCUCUCGUGUUUUGGCCGACGCUCCCUCAGCAGCGGCCACUAUCGCCGCCCUGAUCCGGUGGUCUGAGACCUGUGACCUCUCCAGAUGGCCGGGCCUCUGAGCGGCUUUAUGAUAACCAUACAGUUAAUAUCUGGCCCACAUAUAACCCCCCCACCCCCACCUCCACUACCCACCGCCUCUGCUGCUCUCGUCCCCCCCCGUGCUAUUGUCUCUUAUGCCCACUCCUGAGUACCCCGUUAUAUUCCUUCGUUUCACUCAUCUUUUUUUUUUUUUUCUAAAAUUCCAGAAUCCAUUUCUUUUGUCCCCCAGGCGCAACGGGCGAAGGCUCGAAAACGGUGUAGCAAAUUAAAUUCCGUCUCCCUCUUCAUGCUCCCCUUGGACGUCUGCAUGAUGGAACAGUCAAAGGAGAACAGGGGCAAGGGAAUCUGGAAGAAAAGAGCCCAUUUCCCAUGCAUUACUGCCUCUUUCCUCAGGGUAUAUAGCGAGGUUACAGCAACACCUCCGUCGCCUUUUCUCCCGGUCUUUAAUUUUCUUUUUCUUGCUCCCUCCCCGUCUCGCUCUCACGCAGCCUAACCUGAAGGUCUCUCUGCUCUUGCUACUGCCGCUAACGCAAUCUGACCCAGUUUAUUAGUUUGUGUCUAGUGAAUCAUUAAUCGAGGUUAUCUAACUGUUCCUGUAGUGGUCCCGCCGUGGCUCGUGUGUCAGAGCCGCUGUGCGUUUAGAACUGAUCAAGCCUCGUGCUUCUCGUUCUGCACGUUUGUACUCUAUCAUAACAAUCGUGCACAAAAACAAAGGUAGCCCCUGAAGCUGGACUACAUGUUUAAUAGGUGUGCCAUGCGCUGUAAUAUGUCAUUGUGUCAGAGCACAAUACCAGGACUAAGUGCACUGAAUGCAAAUUAAUCUUGUGGGAUGGCAGCAGCUCAAUAGAGUGCGGUUUUGGGGGAAAGCAGGGGAGCAAAGGGAGGGACAGAAGGAGGGCUAAUAGCGGCGACAGAGAGGAGAAGGAGAGAAAAGAGCAUGUGAGGAGGAGGAGGAGGAGGAGGAGGAGGGCUGUGGGAUGUAGUCAUCGCCGGGCCCAUUCAUCAUGCAAUGCCUGCUGGGAUGCGCUGGGGUCAGUCCUGCACAACACAAUUACAGCCUGUUCUGGUGUGCUGUGUUCCGACUGUUCUCUUGUCUUCUGUUGGGUUCCCUCUGUUCUACCUUCUCCGGCUUUCUCUUUCUUUCCUUACACAUUUCCGAAGUCGCCGCUCGAGCUUUCCCCAAACGAAUUGCGGCAGUUCUUUUGAGCAAAAUGUCUCAAUUAGCUGAACAUUUUUUUUCUUUCUUUUUCUUUGAGUGUUGAACUCUCUCUUUUUUGUCUUUUGCAGUUCAUUGCCACAAGUUUCACGCUGCUCAUGUGAUGCAGCCUCAUUCCGCGGCGUUGUGUCAUCCACUGCGCAGCCGUGUUCUUUCAUCGGCGUCCGAGUCGCUUGGUUCUUGUGAUCGACAGGCCGGGUUAGCAUGGGCGAGUGCGAUUCUGAGGGAAAGCUGUUUGUAGUCCCGACUGAUGGGGGGCGCCCCGGGCCACCGGCGUGCGAUGAAACAGAAGGCUGAGCUUCAAAACCUUGCUGCUGGAUAAUCGAGAGCAAUGAAUUAGUGGUACCGUAAAGACAACACCAUCGGGGGGGGGGGGGGGGGGAAUUGCAGAAUGGGUUCAUUUGCAGGAAUACAAGUGCAAUGCUUGAUUUCUUCAUCGGUUUCUUCUUUUUCUCUCUCCCUCUGGCUGCCAUUGACAGUAAUGUCUUCUCACGUGACCUAAAAGCCAUCUUUUGCUGCUCGGGGAGGGGGGGGCGGCUCUAAGGUGGAGCUCGAAAAACGAUGCCGACCGCUCCGGUCUGAAGAAUCCAAGAAUAUAUUAAGAUUAUGUUGUGUGCAGUCACGGUGUAUUAUGCCGAGUCAUAAUGUUUACUUUCCUUUUUUCCUUCCCAAAUCCACAUCCAUCGCCAAUGACACCCACAGCGCUCACGCCCCGUAUCCGCCGGGCCGAUAGUGACACCGUUUGCUCCCGUCUCUGCUAGCUGAGCGGGCGCAGUCCCGUCACCUGAGGUGGAAACCCGCCUCCUCUGAGGAAUGCAGGGCGGGUGCAGAGCGUCCGUGGGUUCAGCUGUCGCGCCCCGUGCCGACAGCGAGGCCACAGCUUGUGUCCGUCUCUGUUGUCGGAGGCGUUGUAAAGCGCGGUGAGAUAUUUAUGGUUUGCUUCGCUGUGGGGGUUUCAUGCCUCUUUUUUAAAUGAGAAUUCAGAGUCACGGCGGUCCUGUUGUGUUUAUAUAAGAUUAGAAGCGUAUAACAUCUUAUUUCAAACGUUAGGGCUUGUCAUCUAUUCCACAACAACAUGUUCCUCCCAAACAGGACACCUUAAACCUCUUGUACGACACAUUUUCUAAGAUUCUUAUUAGUGGUUAUGGUUUUUUUGGACAAGGUGGCUUCAGGUCACUUGGGCUGCCGGCAGCCGGGGGACAAUUUUCUUUUUCCACUCCUCAAAACCACUCGCAUUUUUCAAACCAAUGAAAUCAAGCAAAAUACUUCUAUGCUCCAGGAGUCACAAAAUCAUACAGGGCCCUUCAACAAACUGCAACCACUCCACCUGAUAAAAUAAACAGGAUAAAAGGAAGGAACUACCCAUUAUUGGCAAUCUAGCAUUUUUCUUUUCAACUUUCUUUCUACUUUCUUUUUUUUUUUUUUUAAGGGAACUUUUCAGGGCAGUUUCCCCCUGAUCCCUUACAGAGGGAGGGUUCAACUUGAGGUCAUGACGAAAAGGGGUCGCCUUUUUAUUCCAGCAAUGCAACGUCCCAGAGGUCACUUGCUCUCACCUAGUGACGCGGUACCAGAC